CAUCAACUUCAUCUGCAAACGCCUUGCCUCGUCACUCCCCACCAAAACCUAAUCUCUUAAUAUUUCUCAUGAUUCCAUGUCCAGGUUUCUUAUUAUUCUGUUGACUUAAUUACAGAAAUCCCCAAGUCUUAGUUAAACAACAAAGGCCAACUAACUAUGUCCCACCCAAGGUCUGAUUCAAUGAUAUGCUCACAUUUAAGUUUGAAAAAAAAUCAAUUUCUCACCCAUUUAUCAAAGCCUACGGACGAACUGUUAAAUGAAGUAACUAAAGUGCGUAGUGAAAAGUGAAAACUUCCUUGCGCUUCAGUCUUUGAUAAGGAAAAUGCAGGAAGGAGGAUUGGAUUUCCAAACAAGAAGAAACGCAGACCUUUAUGGAGCAUUCAUCAACCACCUGUCUUUAAUUUGGAACAAGCUCUGCUUAAUGGCUUAUGUUUAAGUAUUUCAGCAAGAUUAUUUUAGCUAAUGUGAGUUUUUUCAUUAUGAGCAGCGACUCAGGUUCAUGAUUUAUGACUAUACGGUUACAACAGAGCAAAAAUGAUACAGAACUUGGCAUGGAAAGUAGCCCUCUGAACUUCCAGGAGAAAUUCAAGGCAAGCUCAGUCAUUCGGCGAAAGAGUAUUUUAAGAGACAUUCUGCUGCUCUGGAAUCAUACAUGUCGAGAAGGGAUCUUGAUUUGAAUGUGGUGAGUUAUCUCUCUGUCUCUCAUCUGAGUUAAACAUUAUAUUGCUAAGAGAUCUCAAGUUGUGGAUCUUGAUUAUGAUGGAUGUUGAUUGUUGACACAACAAAAAAAAUCAUGGAAAUGGUUUAAGGAGCCGAAGGUUAUACAA